rnacentral:rRNA from 1 species
CUACGGAGGGUGCAAGCGUUGUUCGGAAUUACUGGGCGUAAAGCGCGCGCAGGCGGCCCGAUAAGUUGGAUGUGAAAGCCUACGGCUCAACCGUAGAACUGCAUCCAAAACUGUCAGUCUAGAGUCUGGGAGGGGAAGAUGGAAUUAGUUGUGUAGGGGUAAAAUCCGUAGAGAUAACUAGGAAUACCAAAAGCGAAGGCGAUCUUCUGGAACAGUACUGACGCUGAGGCGCGAAAGCGUGGGGAGCAAACAGGAUUAGAAACCCCAGUAGUCC